rnacentral:rRNA from 1 species
UACGUAGGGUGCGAGCGUUGUCCGGAAUUACUGGGCGUAAAGAGCUCGUAGGUGGUUUGUCGCGUUGUCCGUGAAAACUCACAGCUUAACUGUGGGCGUGCGGGCGAUACGGGCAGACUGGAGUACUGCAGGGGAGACUGGAAUUCCUGGUGUAGCGGUGGAAUGCGCAGAUAUCAGGAGGAACACCGGUGGCGAAGGCGGGGUCUCUGGGCAGUAACUGA